rnacentral:rRNA from 1 species
UCGAGAAUUUUUCACAAUGGGCGCAAGCCUGAUGGAGCGACGCCGCGUGGGGGAUGAAUGGCUUCGGCCCGUAAACCCCUGUCAUUUGCGAUCAACCGUUAUUAUUUAAAAGAUGAUAACCUGAUAGCAGCGAAAGAGGAAGGGACGGCUAACUCUGUGCCAGCAGCCGCGGUAAUACAGAGGUCCCAAGCGUUGUUCGGAUUUACUGGGCGUAAAGGGUGCGUAGGUGGCGGUGUAAGUCGGAUGUGAAAUCUCCGAGCUCAACUCGGAAACUGCAUUGGAAACUACAUUGCUCGAGGGUUGGAGGGGGGACUGGAAUACUUGGUGUAGCAGUGAGAUGCGUAGAUAUCAAGUGGAACACCAGUGGCGAAGGCGAGUCCCUGGACAACUCCUGACACUGAGGCGCGAAAGCUAGGGGAGCAAACAG